AUAAUUUUUUUUUUUUUAUUUUUAUUUACUUUAUAAGUUAAUAAAUAAAAAAAGUAAAAUGUGUAUAUUACAAUAUAGGUAUGAUAUAUACCAAAAAAAUAAAUUUUUUGAGUUUGAUGAUGGCUCUGAUUGAACGCUGUCCAAGUACUUGACACAUGCUAAUCGAACGACUAAUUAGUUUUAAUAAACUAAGUAGUAGUGGUGUACAGGUGAGUAAAAGAUAAUUUGGCUACCUUAAAGUAAGGGGAAAAUCCCUUAUAAACGAAAGGAAAAUAAAAGUCCGCUUUAAGAUGUUAAUCUUUAUCUCGGGGAGUAGUAGGAAAGGUAAUGACUUUUCUAGCUAAAAUCCGUAGUCGUGACUGAGAGGUCGAUCGACCACAUUGGGUCUGAAAAAACCCCAAUGCGUAUUAGUACAGCAGUGAGGAAUAUUGGUCAAUGGCCGAAAGGCUGAACCAGUAACUUGGAAGAAUGUAAGUGUAUUAUUGUAAUACAAUAACGAUUAACUCGUAUAAAAUUCUAAAUAGGAUAAUGAUAAUGACAAUUUCCUAUUUAUAAGUCUUGACCAAAUUACGUGCCAGCAGUCGCGGUAAUACGUAGAAGACUAGUGUUAGUCAUCUUUAUUAGGUUUAAAGGGUACCUAGACGGUAAAUUAAACUCUAAAUGAGUACUUUUUUACUAGAGUUUUAUGUGAGAAGGAAGAAUUUCUGGAGUAGGGAUGAAAUACUUUGAUACCAGAAGGACUGGUAACGGCGAAGGCAUCCUUCUAUGUAAAAACUGACGUUGAGGGACGAAGGCUUGGGUAGCAAUAAGGAUUAGAUACCCUAGUAGUCCAAGCAGAAAAUGAUGAAUGUCAUAGGCUAGAUUUAAAAUUUAGUCUAUAAAUGAAAGUGUAAGCAUUCCACCUCAAGAGUAAUAUGGCAACAUAUAAACUGAAAUCAUUAGACCGUUUCUGAAACCAGUAGUGAAGUAUGUUAUUUAAUUCGAUAACCCGCGAAAAACCUUACCACAGUUUGAAUAACAAUAAAAUUGUUACAAGCGCUGCACGGCUGUCUUUAGUUAAUGUCGUGAGAUUUGGUUAACUCCUCUAAUUAACGAAAACCCUCACUUUAUUUGAAUACAUAAAGUGGUUCGCCACUACAUUGGACCAGAUAAUAGGGAUUAAGACAAGUCAUCAUGGCCUAAAUACUGUGGGCUAUAGACGUGCCACAUACGCCUUAACAAAGGGAUGCGAUAUUGUGAAAUGGAGCUAAUCCCCAAAAUUGGAUAUAAUAUGGAUUGUAGUCUGUAACUCGACUACAUGAAUAAGGAAUUACUAGUAAUCGUGAAUCACCAUCGUCACGGUGAAUUUAAUCUCAGCUAGGUACUAACCACUCGUCAGGCGCUGAAAGGAGUAUGUGCAAUAAGUUUGAUUUGCUUAUGUAUUAAUAUAUAUAAUCAGGUAUAUAAAUAUGUAAGUAUUAUUUUCGUAUGCAUGACUUUGAUUGGUGUUAAGUCGAAAUAUGGUUCGUGUAAUGGAAAUUGCACGGGAUGAAUAAAUUUUAA
rnacentral:rRNA from 1 species